CUCCUCGCGCGCCGCGCGUGCGACGUGCAGUCUGUGGCUUGGUCGUGGGCGUGAACCCUAGCAUCCACAGCCGCCACACCCCCUCCUCCCCGCCUCGUCUCCUCCCGGCUCCCCCAUCUCUUCUCCCACACCGUCACCUCCCCUCUCCCCACUUGCCUUAGCCACCUCCUAUGCUCCCCCGCACCGCCGGCUCCCUCCCUCGUUAUCUUAGCUAACCCCAUGGCGGCGGCCGGGUCGGGUUGGAGGCAAAAGGCCAUGGGGAAUCUGGUGUCUUUGGGCGCAACAGAGGUUGAUGGAGCUGGCGAUUCGGGCAUGCUCCCGCCCUUAGGCGCUCCACGACGGCGGCCAGUUCGGAGGGAGAAGGCAGAGAGCGAUGGUGAGUCCUGCACCUCUGGGUGGAAGCAGCAGGGUUGGUCGAGCAGUGAAUGUGGUCGGGGUCAGCAGUUGAAGGAGGCUCGCCAGCCGGAGCAGCAGGAGGUGAUUCAGGAGCGCCUCGAGGAGUGGAAGGGGGAGGUCGUGCAGGACAUGCCAACAAGAGCAUUAUAGCAAGGAGGAUAGAAUAUUCGAUCAGCCAUAUAUCUUCUUCUCGAUGCAGCCCCGCAUGAGGAGUCAUUCUAGGCAUCCUGGGGUGAUUCAAGAUGCUCAGGUGUAUCACACUGCAUUCUACACAGACCAGCUCAUGGUGUGAGAAGCAUCUCAUAUGGUUCACCGAAUCAAUUGAUGAAUCUGAAGCGAUUCAAGAGGAGGAGAAAAAAUUGUUUAUGCCUAUAGGUUGUCCGAACUACACCUUUAGUUCUAACUACCUUGUUUGUUCUCCUUCUGUGUGAUAUCACUUUGUUCUGUAUAGUUGUCACUGGGACCUAUAUAUUACUUCUUGCAUGAAUCAUGGAUGUAUGAAGACAUCAUGUCAGAUAUAAUAUAAAGCAAAAUGCAUAUGAAUACUUUCGAUGCAGCCCCGCAUGAGGAGUCAUUCUAGGUAACUUCUUGCAUCUCGCGGAAACAUUGCCAAAUACUUACUGAAGAAAGUGUUCGCUUUCUUGUUCCCAUUGCUCGAUAAGCAUGCUCAUGUUUCUCUCUCUCCAUUUGGAAGCCACUGAUUCAACCAUUUAGUACUUGUUGUUCUGUCGCCGAGUGUUCCCUUAAUGCAUGGCACUUUAGGCAUCCCGGGGUGAUUCAAGAUGCUCAGGUGUAUCACACUGCAUGCUACACAGACCAGCUCAUGGUGUGAGAAGCAUCUCAUAUGGUUCACCGAAUCAAUUGAUGAAUCUGAAGCGAUUCAAGAGGAGGAGCAAAAAUUGUUUAUGCCUAUAGGUUGUCCGAACUACACCUUUAGUUCUAACUACCUUGUUUGUUCUCCUUCUGGAAUUUUAUGUUGCCUUGCAUUCUGCUCAUUUGGCGCAUUUGUUCAUCACAAAGUGGAGGGGAGAGGUCUGGCUGCUACCAAUGGGAAAUGGGUGCCUCUCCAGUCAACCGAGAGACGACAAAUCCAACUGGAAAGGGCUCUGGUGAUCUUCAUGUUAUGAGUAAUUCGUUUCGGGCGCUCGGAUUUGGAUUUGCAGCCUCCACCAUGAGUGCCACCUUCAUCAAUGGCGUCCUUGGCCCCCAGACAAAAUAGUGAUCAGAUGUGAGAUCUGGAACAUUGAAGAGCAACAAUGGACAGAAGUAUUAGAUGAUUUUCGGAAGACAUGGUUGCCUAUGGAGUAUUUUCACGAUUAGGUUUCCAUCACUUGGCUCCUGAAGGCAUGAUGCCUCAUUUUGAUUCUCUUAUCUCGGUGUGUUUGUAUUCAGAAAAUUAAGGCAUGAUGCCUCAUUUUGAUUAUCUUAUCUCGGUGUGUUUUAUUCAGAAAAUAGAUUUACUUAUUUUUGCUUUUUUAGGGCUAUAACAAGAGAAAACUCCAUUGUUGAAAAUCUUUUAAAGAGAUCAAGGAUAAAAAAAUCCAAGUAAACUGUGCUUUACUGCCGUAUUUUUAAUGCACACCUUAAUCUGUGUUGGGACGAUGUUGCUUUUUUUCCAGAAAAUGUUUAUUAGAUGGAAAAUACUCAGCAUUUAAAGUUUUUCCCCAAUUGUUUUUGUGCAUGCAAAUAUGAUCUGAUUUCCUUGCAGCCAAGCCAAUGGACAUGUGCAGAGGGCCGCAAUGAGGCAGACGGCAGCGGGUGGCAGCAAUAGGGGUUGGCGGAUGCUCCGAGACCAUGAAGAGCCUGUUCAAUGGUGUAUUCCCUCCAUGUUCCUUUUUUGGGGGUUCCGUUUCCAGAUUGGCGUGAUGCAAUUCUGAGUUGUUGUGCGUGUGUGUUGUGUGAUGCAGAUGAGAAGGAUGACAUAGCGAAGGAGGAUUGCGACAUGGUAGUUCCCACAAUCGCGCAGUUGGAGAGCAUGCACGAGUUCGGUAAACUAUGUAUUCUAUUGGUAUAGCUCUGAAAGGUUAGGAUGCUUUGGGUCACAGCCUGAACUAUGUAUCUCUGGAUAUUAUUACACUUUCUGCAUGCUAUUUCCUAUUUUUUAGACAUCAAUUUCUGUGAAUUGUGGUUGAACUAUGAUACUUUAGGUGGCAUGCUCAACUAUGUGUAGUGUCAUUACCGCUUUCUCCCCUGAUUGUAUUGUCCUUGCCAUGUUAUCCCCUAAAUGUUAACUCUUGCCAUGUUAUUCCCUAAAUUAUUACUCAUUUCUUCUUUUGCCAGUGUUCCGCUUAUGCAUCAUGUAUUCAGUACCAAAAAACGAGGUAUGCUUCUUUACAUUAAACAGUCUUUCCUUCUCAGUAUAUAUGGAAGUAUAUGGGAUGGCUUCCAUAGAAUACUUGUUUCUGUACUAUAUACUAGAUGAUAAUUUCCUUGCAUGCGAACAUGCUAAUUAGUAGCUGCACUACAUUCCUGAAGCUUUUUUGAACUAUUGGGAAACAUGAGAGUUGUUACACAGAAGUAAAUGGUUCUUGUUUCCAUUUCAAACAAAACGAAGGCUAAAAGUUGCUACUUCUGUAGUACUGCUAUAGAACAAUUAGUGUUUAGCUAGACUGUCAAUCUUACAGUUUGUUACUAACCGCUGCCUCUGUAGGCUUAUGUCCAAUGCUGGUGGAAAAGCACCUGGGGCUGGGAAGAAAGCAAAGCUGUAGCUAUCACGCACCGUGCAUGCAUGCAAUUAGAAUUUACAAAAACAAUUAGAAAUUGUGAAUUCUAAUCAGAUUCAUUGUAUUACCGGAUCUUUUGCAUAUCAGACUCUCCUUUCUGACAUCCGGUGAAGUUGUGGUGCAGGAGAAGAAUGAAGAUUUUAUAGCUCUAGCUUCCCCCUUCAGAUAGUCAUGCUCUCCUCCUGGUUUAACAUCCAGUUGUAGUGUGAUAGCUUUGGCACACUUUAAUGUAAUUGUUCUGGUUUAAGAUCCAGCUAUAGUGUGAUAGCUUCGACACCCUUUCACACACCCACACCCACACCCGCACCCAAAUGAAAUGUAUAGAUCUCGCAUAUUUUAUCUGUCUACUUGUUUUAUGAGGAAACAACUCGACUAAUGGUUAAUGAUCAGGUGUUGGGAACAAAAGGUGGAAUGCUCAUUAAUUA